rnacentral:rRNA from 1 species
AUUGAACGCUGGCGGCAGGCCUAACACAUGCAAGUCGAGCGAGCGGCGGACGGGUGCGUAAUGUCUGGUAAACUGCCUGAUGGAGGGGGAUAACUACUGGAAACGGUAGCUAAUCCGGCGUACAAUCCGAUGUGCCCAGGUGGGGUUAGCUAGUCGGUGGGGUAACGGCUCACCUAGGCGACGAUCCCUAGCUGGUCUGAGAGGAUGACCAGCCACACUGGAACUGAGACACGGUCCAGACUCCUACGGGAGGCAGCAGUGGGGAAUAUUGCACAAUGGGCGCAAGCCUGAUGCAGCCAUGCCGCGUGUGUGAAGAAGGCCUUCGGGUUGUAAAGCACUUUCAGCGGGGAGGCGUUACCCGCAGAAGAAGCACCGGCUAACUACGUGCCAGCAGCCGCGGUAAUAC